UGCCGGUUCGGCCAUGGCCAUGUAUUUUCCGUCGGACGUGUAGCGGAUCGACCGGAUUGCUCCAAGGUUACCCUUCAGGACAGCAACAGAGUGAGAUAGGUUGCGGAUGUCCCAUACACGGCAGGUCUUGUCUUGGUUUCCAGUUGAGAAAGUGAUUCCGUCAGGAUGCCACGCUGAGGCAAAGGAGUAGUCAAAAUGUCCUGAUAGUGUUUCCAGCGUCUGUAGAUGAAGUUUUAAAGAUUUGGCAUUAUAAAAGUGGUGACCAACCAUUUGAGACUAACUUACACACUUGAGUUCAGGAUCGAAAAUAUUUGUACCUUUCCUGUGUUGGGGUCUACUAUAAGGCCCUCGGGAUUGCCGCCAACAAUAGCUAGUAAUUUACCAUUAGGACUCAAUGAUGUGUGCUGUUACCAACAAAUGGAGGACAGAAGAACAUCAUUAGCCAAACUGAAACUCCGAAUUAUGCCAAAAUAAAAGGAAAACUAUGAGAGAAGCAAGGACUUUACGUUCACUGGCCAAGGAAAGGAAAAAUGCUUAACAAGCUGGUAUCUCUCCAUGUCAAAAUCUCUAACUCCACAGUCAUUAUUCGAGGCAGUAAAAUGAAGGGCACCACUAUGAACAGAUGACAAAAACUAAGUUAGAAGCAGUGACUCUAACAAUUUAAAUGUAAACCCUUCAGCAGAAACCUGGGUUUGUUGUAGAUCUCAAUAGCAUUGGUAAUAGCAUUAUCAUCAUAAGAAGUACAAGAGCAAAAGCUGACACCAGGUCUAUCAAGAUGCUGAAACCAAUGUGGAAAGUAGAAAGAUGUUUUUCCUACAAAUUUGCAAAACCACAUUUUCAGGCCAAAGUCGUAAAAUCAUAUCCCCCAAAAUCAUGAAAUUACGCUUCCCGCAAAAACCGUGAAAUAUUUUUUUCCCGGAAAACCAUAUAUCAUGUUUUCGCGUCAAAACCGUAAAAUUAUGUUUUUCCACCAAAAUCGUAAAAUCACAUUUUUCGCCAAAACUAUGUUAGAACCGUAAAAUCAUGAUUUUUGCAAAAAAUCGCAAAAUUAAGUUUUUCCGUCAAAACCGUAAAUCACAUUUUCCUCAAAACCACAAAUUACGUUUUCCCACUUUCUUGGUAUAAGAAUUAUUCAUGUCUACCACCACUAAAGAGAUAUUUAAAAAAAAACAUUAUUCAUUAAGUGGCAAAAGACUCUUAUAUCUUUGUUCUAUAUAUAUAUGAUAAAUAAUUAUUUAAAUAAACUAAAAAAUAUUUUUUUUAUAUCCCCUUAUAUUAAAUUUUUGAAGUUAUAAAUAUGGUCAACUUGAUAAUUUUAAUUAUUUAAGGCACUUUACAAACAAAUAAAAUGAUAAGGACUAAAAUAUAAUAACUUAAGAAAAUAAGUCAAUAUAUUUUAGUAUAGACUGACACGUGUCAGUUACGAGGCAUGUUUUAGCUAUUUAUUACUCCCUCCGGUUUUUAAUAUAAGUCGUUUUAAAGAAAUUUUUUUGUUCCAAAUUAUAUGUCGUUUUCGAUUUUCUAUGUAAAAUUUAUUAAUAAUUAAUGAUGUCUGACCAAUGAUAAUAUAUUUUCUAUUUUUCUAUUGGUUGAAUUGUAGUUAGGUAAAUAAUUAAUGAUGUUUUUGUUUAGAAAAUAUAAGAAAUUAAUGAUUUUCUUAAUCUAUGUGCAUAGCUGUAAGACGACUUAUAUUAAAAAACGGAGGGAGUAUAAGUUUAGGUAUGAACUUCAAAAUUUUAUUUAGUUUACGAAUGUUUUAGCACGUUAAUAUACUCUAGAUAUAUAUUUUUUCCGCUUUCAUAGUGUGAAUAUGAAUAAACCGUUUUCCCCAGUAAGAAACAGACAACAAACGAAGUUAGAAGCAGUGACUUUUAACAAUCUAAUGCGGACAGCAAAAGAAAGAGGCAAAAAACCUGGGUUUGUUGUAGAUUUCAAUAGCAUUGGUAAUAGCAUUAUCAUCAUAAGUAGUACGAGAGAAAAAGCUGACCCCAGGUCUAUCAAGAUGCUGAAACCAAAGUGGAAAGUAGAAAUAGAUGAAGCUUUGUCAAUAAUAAUGCAUAUGGCUACUCAAUAAUCAAUAUAUCCAGACUCUUGACUUUGCAUAUAAGAUCUCCUUGAAAUCCACCGGCAAUUAUUCGUCUUUUAUUGCAAGUGUGCUUAUAUGUGUAAACUCUUCCAGCAAACUUCCAUGGUGUUUCUAAGGGGCUGCUAGUUGGAGUUUGAUUUAUAUAGAUUUUGUUGAUUAGAAGAGUAUAUAGACUUGUUGAAUUUGGAAUGAGUUGGAGAAAAUUUUGUAACAAUCUAUAAAAAUAAAUAACUCAAAUAUUUUUUAGAAUCCAAAGGAUAUAUGUAGUACUUUUUAUGAGUUAAAUAAUUAAGAAUACAAUUCUCAAUAACAGUAACUUUAAUAAAUUUACAGAAAUAUUAAAAUCCAAACUUUCGAAUAACAAAUGAUUUUUAGAUUUUAGUGAGAAUAUGAAAAUCUAUAAAUCAAUAACACUACUAUUUAAAUUCUAAAAAUUAAUUCCACUAACACCUUCUAAAUGCACCAAAAAAUCAAAUAAGUAUAUUAUUUUAAUGGGCCGUGUGGUUAGACAAACUCAUUAACUAAUCAAUGGGCUUUAUUAACAUUAUCUCACCAAUCUAGUCAAUGUAUAUAGAUAUGUAUCUAGCCAAAAAAGGGAAGCAAUCUUAAAUUGUAUCUUUUUGGUCUUGUUAAGACUAAAACAGUCAUUAACACAUCAGCAAUACUUAUCUAAUUAAUUAAUUACAUUUAUUUUUUAAAUAUCAUUAAAGCUUUGAAUGUUUACAACCACACCAUAGUUAAUAAUUACGAAAAUCUCUACAUAUAUUUGUGUAUAUCAGAAACGCAAAUGUAGUUGUUACACAAGCUAACAUUCAGACCUUAUGUUUUCUCCUUAGGUGUUAAGGAACUGAUUUAUUAUAAAGAUAAUAAGGUCCUCACAAACUCUCCAUUCACCAACACAGCAAAAAAAAUUAAUUACAUUUAUUUUUUAAAUAUCAUUAAAGCUUUGAAUGUUUACAACCACACCAUAGUUAAUAAUUACGAAAAUCUCUACAUAUAUUUGUGUAUAUCAGAAACGCAAACGUAGUUGUUACACAAGCUAACAUUCAGACCUUAUGUUUUCUCCUUAGGUGUUAAGGAACUGAUUUAUUAUAAAGAUAAUAAGGUCCUCACAAACUCUCCAUUCACCAAGACAGCAAAAAAAAGAUGUCAACAGUUUCACCCUCCUCGCAACUGGUUCAGGUGGUUCCAGACAACCACAACAACACUGACGACUCCUCUGCGGAGGUCAACUACGAAGAUCUUGUCCGUAAGUCAUGUCUAUUUGACCUUUUAUUUGACAUUAAGGUUCAUUAGUUUCCUCACAGGUUUAAAACAUUUUACAACACUCAUGUUCUUGUUUUCUCUUUACUUUGUAACAUGCUGAGACACCAUACCUCUUAUGUUUUUCAGAGGAAGCAAUGGAGAGCUUGUCCCUCGAGGAAGGUAUUAAAAAAAGGUUUCUCUAACUCUGUGGCUUUGUAUCACUUUGCGACUUAUUGAAUUUCCACCUUAUGGAACUUGCAGGCACUGUUGAACCGCAGAUUGGGGAUGUGGGAGACGGAGUCAUUGAUGGGACGACGUCCGAAGGUGGAUACCUGGUGACGAUGAAAUUCGGUUCUCAAGUGCUGAAAGGAGUGCUUUACCAUCAUGCUAAAAGGCCCCAACAAGCCAUGGGAACACCACCUUCAGGCAUGCCACCAGCAUCACAGCGCCGAGCUAAGAAGAAAGCCAGAGAGACUACUCAAGUUGAUUCUAAGAAACCCAAAUUCCGCAGGAGUGGCUACAAACCUAAGAAACAGGUCACUUACUUAUAGUUAUCAUCAAAUCAAAUCCUUUAACCAAGUGUUUGCUUAUAAUCUGAUACCAUUUUCUUACAGGUUUAUCAAGACAAAGGAGUUACGGAUGGGGAGAGGUACAGAACUGAGAUCAUGCUGGAGUACGAGUCUGCACAUGAGUCUGAUGGAGCAUCUGCUUCUGCAGCCGCCACCAUGGCUCAGUAGUCUUUUCUUUCUUCUGUUAUGUUGUUGUCUUCUUCUUUCUUUAUUACAUUUCUCUUUCUUCUUUCUUUCUCUGGACAAGUUCUCUUUCUUUUAUAAUGAAUAUUUAUAAUGUCAUUGAUCAGUUUGCAGAACAUGUCAUGUUUAUGGUUGUAGGGUUAGUAAAAGAGGUUACUAACUGCGCAUUUAUGUCUUUCUUGCUAUUUUGAUUCAUGAUAUCCCGUUUGUUUGUUUUUUUUGUUUCUGUUUUCAACUUGGAUAUAUCUUAUGUUGUUGCAGAAAUUUGAAUGAACUAUUAUUACUCUUUCCGUUCCAAAUUAAUUCAUGUUUAAAAAAAAAGUAUUUUAAGAAGAUAUAUUUUUAUUAGAUAAUAAUGUAAAAUUUUAAAUUUUGAAAAGAAAUCAUGUUUACUGUACUUCGAUGGAUAAAAAUUAUAGAAAAUAUAGUUAAACACAAAAUAAUGCAUUUAUAAUUAAGAUCAAACAUAUUUUUAAUAUGUGUGGAAAAAUUUAAAACAUACAUUUUUUGAAAUGGGGUAGGGAACAUCAUUUAUUUAACACAUAUGUUUCUUGAAUCCCAUUUUUGUUGUUAGUUUUCAAGAGUUUCAACAUGUUCUCCCAACAUAUAAAAAGCUUGUUUGAUAAUCAAUUUGUGAAAUAACCAAAAAUAAAGAGAGGAUGGGUGAUUUUGGUUAGUUAGUGAAUUUUUGUUUUUUUUUUUGUAUAUUAUUUCAAUAGCAUUGGUAAUAGCAUUAUCAUCAUAAGUAGUACGAGAGAAAAAGCUGACCCCAGGUCUAUCAAGAUGCUGAAACCAAAGUGGAAAGUAGAAAUAGAUGAAGCUUUGUCAAUAAUAAUGCAUAUGGCUUCUCUUUUUUUUUUGCGCAACGCAUAUGGCUACUCAAUAAUCAAUAUAUCCAGACUCUUGACUUUGCAUAUAAGAUCUCCUUGGCAGGUCUUGUCUUGGUUUCCAGUUGAGAAAGUGAUUCCGUCAGGAUGCCACGCUGAGGCAAAGGAAUAGUCAAAAUGUCCUGAUAGUGUUUCCAGCGUCUGUGGAUGAAGUUCCAAAGAUUUGGCAUUAUAAAGCAACCAUUUGAGACUAACUUACACACUUGGGUUCAGGAUCGAAAAGAUUUGUACCUUUCCUGUGUUGG
rnacentral:lncRNA from 1 species